CCCUACAGUCAGAAAGAAGCUGGUUUAGAAGGAGCCAGGGCUGAGGCCUCCUAAGGAUCUGGAUGGCCCCAUGCCCUCAGCUGCCAGCCACAGAGGACAUCUUCUGUUUGUGGAGCUGGGUGGCCCCUACUGCUGUGCACACUCACUCACCACAUGUGCCCACUGGAAGCCUGCAGCGAGACGUGGCUGCUAUACUGGAACGCAGGCUGCUCCUUGGAUAACACUGGUUCCUGUAAAGGUUUAGGCAAAAUGGGUCAGGCCAAGCCCCAGGGACAUGUUUCCUGCACCCCAGGGUUACAUGCUGACUGCCAGUUCAUCAAGACUGGAUGUCCCCUACCCAGCCACCACCACAGCAGGCACUCCCAUAGCAUGAUACACUUCCUGCCAGUACCUCCUCCCAUAGAUGGCCAUUUGGCUGGGCCUUUUAUGCUGGCUCUGGGAAAGAUAAUCUCAGACUGAAUGUCCGAAGGCACUGGGCAAAGGACCUCCUCUGCAGCCCGGGGAACACAGUGAGACCCCAUCUCCACAAAAAAAAAAAAAAAAAAAAAAAAAAUUUAAACUAACCA